rnacentral:rRNA from 1 species
CUACGGGUUGCAGCGGUGGGGAAUAUUGCACAAUGGGGGAAACCCUGAUGCAGCGACGCCGCGUGAGCGAAGAAGGCUUUAGGGUCGUAAAGCUCUGUCCUAAGGGAAGAUAGUGACGGUACCUUAGGAGGAAGCCCCGGCUAACUACGUGCCAGCAGCCGCGGUAACACGUAGGGGGCGAGCGUUAUCCGGAAUUAUUGGGCGUAAAGGGUUCGCAGGUGGUCUGUUAAGUCAGAUGUGAAAGGCAGUGGCUCAACCAUUGCAAGCAUUUGAAACUGGCAGACUUGAGUACAGGAGAGGAAAGCGGAAUUCCUAGUGUAGCGGUGAAAUGCGUAGAUAUUAGGAGGAACACCAGUGGCGAAGGCGGCUUUCUGGACUGUAACUGACACUGAGGAACGAAAGCGUGGGGAGCAAACAGGAUUAGAUACCCUUGUAGUC